UACGUAGGGCGCAAGCGUUAUCCGGAAUUAUUGGGCGUAAAGAGCUUGUAGGCGGUUCGUCGCGUCUGGUGUGAAAGCCCAUCGCUUAACGGUGGGUCUGCGCCGGGUACGGGCGGGCUAGAGUGCAGUAGGGGAGACUGGAAUUCCCGGUGUAACGGUGGAAUGUGUAGAUAUCGGGAAGAACACCAAUGGCGAAGGCAGGUCUCUGGGCUGUUACUGACGCUGAGAAGCGAAAGCGUGGGGAGCGAAC
rnacentral:rRNA from 2 species